UCAGAAGUUAGGGAUUUGGGUUUUAGGCAAAUUCAAAGACCCACCAAAUUAAUUGAACUCCUUUGAUUGAAAUUUUCAUACCCCAGCCUCUGCGGCAGUCAUAUCAUCUGCUCCCCAAUCCUUAUACACCCAGCCCUAACUCAAAAACAUUUAAUGAAGGCACCCCCAGCCCAUAGAAGCUCUGAGAUCUCGCGCUCCAAUGAGAAAUCAUUCUAACUCGCGUCGGAUCCUAAGUUUCGAGAAGCUGUCGGUCGCUCAAGUCUCUCCGCCCGUGUGGAUAUCUUCCGGUCGAGUUACUGUUGGCCCAACGUCUCUGCUACGGCGCCCUAUACCUUUUAAGAUGGCUAGAAAAGGUCGUUUCACAAGAAAACUGAAAAUAGGACCAGGAUGUCAGCAACCACAAACGGCUCCACCUCCGGUCCCGCCUCCGGCCUCGGCUUCCCACCGUGAUGACUCUAAAGUUCUCCAGAAGAGUGGUGAUAGUGUCCCUCCAACUUCACGUCCAUUCCUUCCGCCGCGUAGUGUACCAAGGCCGGCUCCACAAAUGAGCACAACUAACAUUCAGAACUCGGAGUCAAGCCAUGUAAACUCGGCAGAUAAUGCUAAUGAUGUAGAUUCUGUUGAUCAAGCAGCUGAUGAGUCCUUUGUUAAUUCUAGAGCUCAGAAUCGCAAAGGACGCAAGACUACAGAGUUUUGGGAAGUCAGGAUAAUCGAUUCCGAUGGCACAAUCAAGCCGGCAAGACUAAGCGUGAGGGAGGCCAUGGAACAGCCUAACGGUAGAAAGAUCGUCCUCAGGUUCAACAAUGCAAAGCAAGCCAUUGGAAACGAAGCUGGACUGUUGAGUGGCGUGCUUGGUCUGCUAGGAUCUGACUUUGGAAAGUUUCCUAUCUGUGAGGAAUGCUGGCGUAAGAUUACAACUAAGGACAAAGUUUAUAACGAAUGUGUGAAGCAAAUUUUCCACAUUGAUGAAGAUAGCGAAGGAACUAUCAAGAAAAAUAUCUUGAAAAGUAUGGGGAAGUCUUGGAAGGAGACAAGGCUGAGGUUGUAUAAUGCUUAUUUCGAGCCAACGUGCACGACUGAACAAGAUAUUGAGAACCGUCCACCGGGAAUCGAUCGAGAGCAUUGGAGAUGGUUCCUUGACUAUCGCGCCAAACCUGAAAUGAAGGAGAAGUGCAAGAAAAAUACGAAGAAUCGAUCAAAACAACAAUAUACCCACACUGGCGGUUCGAAAAGCUUUGCACGACAGAUCGAAGAAGAGUCGGAACAACAAGGGAGAAUAGUCGGAAGAGGGGAGCUAUGGAUCACAAUGAACAAAAAAAAAAGGACGGCUCCUAUAUGAAUGAUGAAGCAAGAGCAAUCGGUGUAAGUACCACUAUUUAUAAUUGAUCGAUAAAGUUAUGACCUCAAAUAAGGAACGAAUUGAGGAGAUUGAGCAACAGGAUGAGUCAUCUAGGGUGUUAUCUCAAAAUGAUUUCAUUUCUCAGGUUUUUGGAAAAGAGAAACCGGGUAGAGUACGUGGUAUGGGUUUUGGACCGACUCCUAGUCAAUUCUUCGGUCCAAAUUCACAUGGGCCUGGCAAUAGAGUCCAAUUAAAGGAGACUCAGAGGAAGCUGCUUGAACUGCAGGCAGAGCUGGAAGGGGAGAAGUUGAAGAGUAGGAAGGCGAUGGAGGAUGAGGCAACAGCAGAGAAGAAAAAGAUGAAGGCGAUGGAAAGUUCUCUGAUUUAUCUGUUUCAACGGCAGGGUGAGGAGCUGCCACUAGACAUCACUGUAGGGAUGCGUUUUGUGGAAUGAUAGAGUGAAUACUAGAAUAUUAGGAUUGGAGAUAUGUUGCAUUGAAGCAAACAUUUUAUUGAAUUAGACUGAGCAACUCUUUGAAAGAGUUUUUUUUUGUUCGUAUUUUGAUGGACAUAUAUAUUUCUUGUUUUGCUUA